UUAGACGAUCACCAUUGGUAUAGGUGAGUUGUUUAAUAGUUGUUGCUUUUGGAUACUGCUGUUUUGGAUUUUUCAUAAUCAGUAAUAUGGUAAGGAAAGAAACGUGUUGCUACGUGAACCCGGAAAGUGUGGGACGAAUUAAAAAAAAAAUCUAGAGACGCUCGUUCUGAGUGUGCCACCUACACAUUCAAACGUGUACACAAGCACAGUAUUCCCUAUCUAUGUAAUGUGUUUUCAUAAUUAUGUGAUAUAGGGCAAAAAAAGGUAGCAGCUUUUUGUAUCUUGUUGUUAAGCAUUUCCAGGGGAGAUAAUGUUAUUUUUCACGGUGUGUUCGAUAGGUUUGUUACAUUGUAACAUUAUAUAAUACACACUCAUAACGUGGAUUAAAAUAGCCUCUCACACUCAAUUAACUGAAUUUCAAUUAUUCUAUUUACCGUAGUGCUAUUAUAUAAGACUUCGGAGGUUCAUAUCACUUAUAUUCAACGUUUUAUUUUUUUAUAUCGGAUUUUUUUUUUUACUAUUGAUGUUGAACGGUUCAUAGUAAUAAAAAAAAAUCCGAUAAAACCGUUGAAUGUAAAUGAUAUGAAUCUGAGAAGUCUUAUAUAUUGUCCUUUUAUAUAAGACCGGAAGUUCAUAUCAUUUACAUUCAACAUUUUUUAUCGAAUUUUUGUUAUCUUUCAAUGUUGAACGGUUCAACGGUUCGACAUUGGUAGUUAAAAUCCGAUAAGAAUAACGGUUCAACAUUGGUAGUAAAAAAAAAUCCGAUAAACAUGUUGAAUGUAAAUGAAAUGAAACUCUGAAGCCUUACAUUAUAGGACUAUCGUUUAUUAGUUCUUUAUCCUGACUAAAUGUUUUUUUUUGUGGUAUAUAUUACAAAAAAAAGGGGGGGGGGCUUUUAAAAACACCAAAAUACCUUAACAAUCCUACAAUAUCUGUUUACAGAAUGAGAAAGAUAUUUCGUAUUCUAAAACUACUUUUUCUCAGAUGUUUGUUUGAUAUGUUGAAAAUACAUACAAAUGUUUAGUACGUAUAUCCACCCCCUCUUUUUCAAUUCAUAAGUUCAAGAUACAGCUCUGAAGAAUAUGCAACAACCUUCUUCUUCUUUAUUCUUUCCUCCACUAUCUGUAGUACCACUACUUUUGUAGUGUAGCACGGAUAAGCAACUGAUUGAUACUAUAAGCAACUGUGUGCAUGUGCAAGAAUAUUUUACAGUGAAAAUGAUCGGUGCACAAACCAGUAUUAUUUCGCCUAAAAUUAAUUGUUCAACUUCAAGAUACUGGUAUAAAGGAUAUAAACACAGCCUGGCAUACCUACCACCAAUUAUUAUAACAUGUGAAGACCAAUGAAAACAUUUGAUAUGAUUUGAAAACAUGGCAAAUUAAGUAGGAACUUUGGGUUUCGUAGACAUAAAUUAUAAUUCAACAUUUUCGAUUUAUAUUUUUCUUUAUUUCAUAUUCUAGUAUAUUUAAUACCAUGUUUAUAUUUUGUGAUGCAUCUCAUGUAUAAAUCCAGUGGCAGAUCCGGGAAAGAGCUCUUAGUUCCUAUCCGUUUGUACGGGGAAUAUGUGGUUGCAACCCCUCUUUAAUAGCCUGUUCGAUUUUUAUGUUUGCAGGGUCGAAAAGGGAGAUAGACAGCAGUUUUAUCAAGAAGUUAUGUGAAAGUUCUGCUAUACAUCUGACAGUCAGGAAUUAUUCUGAAGUACACAUGUCGACUAGAGGCAUAGAACAGAUAGGAAAGGUUUUAAAGUACCAGAUGCUUAUCUGAGAUUCCAAUUUGAACUAAAGAAAGCAAUAUAUAAAGAUAUGUAGGAGAAAAAAUCUAUAUGAAUAAAGUUAUGCCACAAAAGGAACUUAUUUUUUUUAUAUACAUA
rnacentral:lncRNA from 1 species